AUUGAACGCUGGCGGCAGGCCUAACACAUGCCAGUCGAGCGGAUGAAGGGAGCUUGCUCCUGGAUUCAGCGGCGGACGGGCGAGUAAUGCCUAGGAGUCUGCCUGGCAGUGGGGGAUGACGUCCGGAAACGGGCGCUAAUACAGCAUACGUCCUGAGGGUGAAAGUGGGGGAUCUUCGGACCUCACGCUAUCAGAUGAGCCUAGGUCGGAUUAGCUAGUUGGUAGGGUAAAGGCCUACCAAGGCGACGAUCCGUAACUGGUCUGAGAGGAUGAUCGGUCACACUGGAACUGAGACACGGUCCAGACUCCUACGGGAGGCAGCAGUAGGGAAUCUUCGACAAUGGGCGAAAGCCUGACCCAGCCAUGCCGCGUGUGUGAAGAAGGUCUUCGGAUCGUAAAGCACUUUUAGUUGGGAGGAACGGCAGUAAGUUUAUACCUUGCUGUUUUGACGGUACCAACAGAAUAAGCACCGGCUAACUUCGUG
rnacentral:rRNA from 1 species